GAUGAACGCUGGCGGCGUGCCUAAUACAUGCAAGUCGAGCGAACAGACGAGGAGCUUGCUCCUCUGACGUUAGCGGCGGACGGGUGAGUAACACGUGGAUAACCUACCUAUAAGACUGGGAUAACUUCGGGAAACCGGAGCUAAUACCGGAUAAUAUAUUGAACCGCAUGGUUCAAUAGUGAAAGACGGUUUUGCUGUCACUUAUAGAUGGAUCCGCGCCGCAUUAGCUAGUUGGUAAGGUAACGGCUUACCAAGGCGACGAUGCGUAGCCGACCUGAGAGCGUGAUCGGCCACACUGGAACUGAGACACGGUCCAGACUCCUACGGGAGGCAGCAGUAGGGAAUCUUCCGCAAUGGGCGAAAGCCUGACGUAGCAACGCCGCGUGAGUGAUGAAGGUCUUCGGAUCGUAAAACUCUGUUAUUAGGGAAGAACAAAUGUGUAAGUAACUAUGCACGUCUUGACGGUACCUAAUCAGAAAGCCACGGCUAACUACGUG
rnacentral:rRNA from 1 species